UACGUAGGGUGCGAGCGUUUAAUCGGAAUUACUGGGCGUAAAGGGUGCGUAGGCGGGUCUUUUUAAGUCAGGGGUGAAAUCCUGGAGCUCAACUCCAGAACUGCCUUUGAUACUGAAGAUCUUGAGUUCGGGAGAGGUGAGUGGAACUGCGAGUGUAGAGGUGAAAAUUCGUAGAUAUUCGCAAGAACACCAGUGGCGAAGGCGGCUCACUGGCCCCGAUACUACGCUGAGGCACGAAAAGCGUGGGGGGAGCAAAACAGGGA
rnacentral:rRNA from 1 species